rnacentral:sRNA from 1 species
ACUUUGCAGCCCGACUUGAGCGGAAAUCCUUUUUUGUUGGUUGAGCUUGUCGAAACCAACAAAAAAGAUUGGGAGCGGAAGGCGGAAAAAGCU